rnacentral:rRNA from 1 species
GAUGAACGCUAGCGGCAGGCCUAAUACAUGCAAGCCGAACGGCAAGUCUUUUAGCAAUAGAAGACCUAGAGUGGCGUAAGGGUGCGUAACACGUAUGCAAUCUGCCCUCAACAGGAGGAUAGCUCCCCGAAAGGGGAAUUAAGCCUCCAUAGGAUCGUAAUGUGGCAUCACAUAGCGAUUAAACUACCAGGGGUUGAGGAUGAGCAUGCGCAUGAUUAGUUAGUUGGCGGGGUAACGGCCCACCAAGACGAUGAUCAUUAGGGGAACUGAGAGGUUGAUCCCCCACACUGGCACUGAGAUACGGGCCAGACUCCCUACGGGAGGGCAGCAGUAGGGGAAUAUUGGACAAUGGGUGGCAAGCCUGAUCCAG